rnacentral:rRNA from 1 species
AGCGGCGGACGGGUGAGUAACACGUGGGUAACCUGCCCAAGAGACUGGGAUAACACCUGGAAACAGAUGCUAAUACCGGAUAACAACACUAGACGCAUGUCUAGAGUUUGAAAGAUGGUUCUGCUAUCACUCUUGGAUGGACCUGCGGUGCAUUAGCUAGUUGGUAAGGUAACGGCUUACCAAGGCAAUGAUGCAUAGCCGAGUUGAGAGACUGAUCGGCCACAUUGGGACUGAGACACGGCCCAAACUCCUACGGGAGGCAGCAGUAGGGAAUCUUCCACAAUGGACGAAAGUCUGAUGGAGCAACGCCGCGUGAGUGAAGAAGGGUUUCGGCUCGUAAAGCUCUGUUGGUAGUGAAGAAAGAUAGAGGUAGUAACUGGCCUUUAUUUGACGUAAUUACUUAGAAAGUCACGGCUAACUACGUGCCAGCAGCCGCGGUAAUACGUAGGUGGCAAGCGUUGUCCGGAUUUAUUGGGCGUAAAGCGAGUGCAGGCGGUUCAAUAAGUCUGAUGUGAAAGCCUUCGGCUCAACCGGAGAAUUGCAUCAGAAACUGUUGAACUUGAGUGCAGAAGAGGAGAGUGGAACUCCAUGUGUAGCGGUGGAAUGCGUAGAUAUAUGGAAGAACACCAGUGGCGAAUGCGGCUCUCUGGUCUGCAACUGACGCUGAGGCUCGAAAGCAUGGGUAGCGAACAGGAUUAGAUACCCUGGUAGUCCAUGCC